rnacentral:rRNA from 1 species
CAGUAGCCGCGGUAAUACGUAGGGUGCAAGCGUUAAUCGGAAUUACUGGGCGUAAAGCGUGCGCAGGCGGUUAUAUAAGACAGAUGUGAAAUCCCCGGGCUCAACCUGGGAACUGCAUUUGUGACUGUAUAGCUAGAGUACGGCAGAGGGGGAUGGAAUUCCGCGUGUAGCAGUGAAAUGCGUAGAUAUGCGGAGGAACACCGAUGGCGAAGGCAAUCCCCUGGGCCUGUACUGACGCUCAUGCACGAAAGCGUGGGGAGCAAACAGGAUUAGAUACCCGGGUAGUCCCUGUCUCUUAACC